GGUCCCAAGCGUUAUCCGGAUUUACUGGGCGUAAAGAGUCUGUAGCUGGUUACAUAAGUCUAUUUUAAAGACCUUGGCUCAACCAAGGGAAGGGAAUGGAUACUGUGUAUCUGGAGGUUUUAGGGGUUAGUAGAAUUCCCGGUGGAGGGGUGAAAUCCGUUGAUAUUGGGAGGAAUGCCGAAAGCGAAAGCAGCUAACUAUAAUUAUCCUGACAGUGAGAGACGAAAGCAUGGGUAGCAAACGGGAUUAGAUACCCCGGUAGUCCAUGCCGUAAACUAUGCUUGCUAAGUGUCUUAAGAGACUUGAUCUCUGGGGUACUGUAACCUACGGGUUAAGCAAGCCGCCUGGGUAGUACAGUCGCAAGACUGAAACUCAAAGGAAUAGGCGGGGGAACACACAAGCAGUGGAUGAUCUAGAUUAAUUGGACAAUAAGCCAAGAACCUUACCUAGGUUUGACAUGUAUUUCUAAGGUAGUGAAAGCUAUCGAGCAUAGCAAUAUGCAACUUACACAGGUGGUGCAUGGUC
rnacentral:rRNA from 1 species